rnacentral:lncRNA from 1 species
CCCUGUAUUUUUGGAGUCGCCGGCCGGCCAAUCUUUCGGAAAUGCAUAUAGGCUGAGCUCUGUGAUGAGAUGAGAUGAGGGGAGCUGUUCAUCAUCAUGGAGCCUGGUGUUGGCGAAUGAUGCCGGCAUCUGAUCUGACUGCUGCUGCUGCUUCACGGUUCAAUGAUCUCUGAAUCUGGCCUGCCGCGGCCAUGCCAUGGCAUGUGGGCGCUGUCCCCCCGCUGUCCUGUGCGUGCGUUGGAUCACGGCCAUUUUUGGACCUUAAUGCCUCUUGUUUAAUGGCAGCGCGGCGGCAGGGUGGCCCGGUCCUGUCCUUGGAUGGAUCGCCAUGACUGACUUUGGCUGCUGCUGCUGCUGCUGCGGUGCUGCCUAGAUGAGUUGAUGGCAUUGUAGACUGCCACUUUGAUCCGUGACUGCUUGCUGUAAUGUUUCCUUUGUCCGUGUUGCAACUGUAUCUUCAAAUGUCGCUCAAUUUUACUACUCCCUCCGUUCCAUUUCAUAAUAUAAGAGUGUUUCUUACACUAGCGUCAGUGUCAAGAACGCUCUUAUAUCAUGAGACGAUGCACGAGGAAAGUAAAAAUAUCCUUGGAACUUGCUUGUUAUCCUGUAGUAAUUUUAUCCCGUCUGUCUCUGGAACUUGCUUUGGUUGUGGUGUAUUAGCACUAACCACCACAUGGGAAAAAUAUCGCCAGGACAAGACAUGAAGCCUGCCCCUGAGGUGAUGAGGUGGGUUAAUUAGCUGCUGACCCAACGCGGUAGUGACGGUCGCUCACCGGACAUUGCAGCGCUCCCGAUAGACAAACCCUUCGUCGUUUGCUCUUCUUUUUGGAGCAUGGUGUUCGCAACGAACCUUUGCAAAAUGUAUCGAAACACUCCCCAUUUACGUCAUACAGGAGAAUGGAGACGUCCGAGAUUGGCGCGCAUAGUAUGGUUGGACCAAUAAGUCUAACUCGAACGCACGACUUCAAAUGGUCCGUCCGCGUCCGCUUGAGGGUAAACAGACAAAGGAGACCUUUCAACGCACAGCCGCAAACGGACGACGGUCCGUUUUCGACCAUUUUUCUAGCCCAAAUUUGAGCCGAGUGUGCGGCCGAACAGGCCGGGCAUGCGCCCUUGUUCUCCCCUAGCCCGCCCGUCGGUGGCACAGUGCAGCCACUUUCCCUCCCUUUCCUUCAAAACCCUCCCCCNNNNNNNNNNNNNNNNNNNNNNNNNNNNNNNNNNNNNNNNNNNNNNNNNNNNNNNNNNNNNNNNNNNNNNNNNNNNNNNNNNNNNNNNNNNNNNNNNNNNNNNNNNNNNNNNNNNNNNNNNNNNNNNNNNNNNNNNNNNNNNNNNNNNNNNNNNNNNNNNNNNNNNNNNNNNNNNNNNNNNNNNNNNNNNNNNNNNNNNNNNNNNNNNNNNNNNNNNNNNNNNNGUCGGAGCUGACGCCGAAUCAGCCAAGAGGAAGAACCAGCGAACUGUCGCCGCCGUAGAUCACUCGUCAUCGAACUUGAGCAUGUCGGCCUGCAUCUUCUCGAGCCACGGCCUCCUCCUUGGCGACACAGUGUUGAGAUCCACCUGCAUGAUCUCCACCCAGGCCACCAUGCUCGCGAGAGCCACUUCUUUCGCCUUGGUCUUGGCAUUGGCGGCCUUGAUCUCUAGCAUCUUCGCUUGCUUCUCCGCCUCCAUCUCAAGCAUCUUGGCUUGCUUCUCCGCGUCCAUCUCAAGCCUCCUCCUUUGGAUCUCCAAGAAGGCGUUCAUUUGCUCUUCCUUGUCUUGCCGGCGCUUCUCCUCUAUUGAGUCCUUCUUGGUCAUCAUGCCCUCCACGGUUGCGAUCAAGGCGAUCGACGCCGCAUCCCGCUUGUCGUCCUUGGAGUUAGUCUUCCCCCGCGGCCGAGCCUUCUAGCCGUCCCCAACCUCCUCCACGGCUUGCUUCCCCCCACGCGACUUGAGGAGGGCAUAUUACGCCUUGAACUUCUCCUCGUCUUUGAUGAACUUAAAGCAAUGGGAGAGGUUGAAGCACUUGCCAUUGUGUUGGACCUUAAAUACCUCCAAAGCUUGAAAUGCCUACAAAUAUAUUUCAUCCAAGCAUAUUGGUAAAUGGUAUGCAAACGAACACACAAGCAUAAACUUGAUGACACAAAAGAGGGUGGCUUGCUAGCAUACCAUGUCUUGCAUGCCAAUGCCGCUCACGGGGCGGGCCUUGACGCUCUCAAGAGUGGCACACAACUUGUUCCGCUCUUAUUGGAUCACCCUCCAUCGCUUCGAAAUGGACACCCACCCGCACGUGCUUACUAUUUGGUACGGCGGAAACUUCUUGCGCUCAUGGAACUCAUGGUGGACACGAAUCAAAAAAGUUGAAUGCUUUUGUUCAGCGCCCGUCUUGGGGUCUUGCCCAAUGUCUCUCCAACACUCGCAAAAAAGCUUGUCCUCGGCCGUCGUGUAUCCUUGGUCCGCUUGCUCUUGCGCUUCAGCUUCACCCCGACGGAUUGGUUGGCGAGCUCGUCCUCGAACAAAGGCUCCCCUUCGAUGUCACACUCAUCCUCUUCGUCUUGCCCGUAGUCCUCCGAAAACUCGUGGUCGAGAGGGAAGCCGUCCAGGUCCAGGCCGACCUGAUCACGCAUGAAGGCCGCCUGAUCUUCAUUGUAGCUAGCGGACGGCGUGAACGCCCCUCGGCCGUCCUGGCUUUGUGCCUCGUCGAGAUCGUAGCCAACGACUUGCGCACCACCCUCGAAGAUCAUGUUCUGCAUGUAGUCCUCGUCGCCAGCGGCCGGCAUUCCGUCGAACAGGUUGCGUGCGCCGGAAGUACGUCGGCUGGCAUCUGCUGCACGUGUUUCCUCGCGCCUAUGACGAGCCACCAGCCACCAGUAUGGCGUUGAGGUCGAUGGGCGCGGGCGCGGGCGUGGAAGGCGCGACCACGCUAUCCCCGGAGAGGCGGGAGGCCUGCGGGUAAACAUGGAAGCGGGGCAUCGGGGUGCAAGCCGACGCGCGAGGCGAGUCGGGCAGCACCAUCCGAGGGAAUGCAGAUGAGCCGGUGCUGGCCGCGGCCACGGCGGCGUUGACGAGGCCGUGCUGGAUAGGGUUUAACCUAGCAUAUAGAGCGCCUCCCUUGUUGCUGCAGCGAGGCGGGCGUUGGUGACCUCCUGCUGCGCGGCGGCGGCGACGGCGGCCACCACGAUAGCUUCAUCCCUCGCGUCCGCUGCGUGCCUCCGAUCCUUCCUCCUGGCCGACUCCCUUGCCCGCUGUUCGGGCGUCAGCGCCUUCUUCGGCUUGGGCGCGGCGGUCUUGCGUGGGGCGCAAGGCUUGCCUUUGCCGGAGGGGGCGGUCGGCAUGGCAGACGUGGCGAGGAAGGCGAGGCCGGCGGCGGCGUCGAGGUCGUCGUCCAUGCGGGGGUGGGGCGGGAAGGUUUAUUUUGGGGGACGGAGGAAAAUGGUGAAGGCUGCCACCAACCAGUAGGCCCGAGGGAAGGAGAAGGCGCGCGCGCGUCCGCCUUGCGUCCGCGCUGAUGCAAAUCCGGCUCAAAAAUGGGCCGGAAAUGAGUCGGCAGGCGGAAGUCAAGCGAACGCGCGUCCGUUUGGGUCGGUGCGUUGGGCCGAUUUUUGUGUCGAACAAAAUGGAUCGCUUCGUUGAAGUUGUUCUUGAUGCCUGUUGUUUAAUUGGAGCGCCGUGGCAGGGUGGUCCGGUUCUUGGAUCGCCAUGACUCUGGCUUCUGCUGCGGUGCCACUUGAUCUGUCACUAUCCGGGCUACUGCAUGUUGUAAUGUUUCCUGUGUACGUGUUGCAAAUCACCAUCUACUCUCUCGGUCUAUCCAUCCUGCAUUUUUUGUCCUCAUUUAUUUCCGUGCCAAAUUUUGACCAUAAGUUACCUAACAAAAUGUGCAUGAAAUCCAACGAUAAGUUUUUUGUUUGCAUGCACUAACAUUUCGUCAGUCGAAUCUUUGAUCAAAAUUUAGUAUAAAUUAUAAAGGGGACCAACAAAUAAAUCAGGAUGGAGGUAGUAAAUCAUCAGUGGAAGAUGCAAUUUUACAAGUAUUCAAGUGGCAAAAAUGGAUGAACAGCACCUGCUGCACGAAAGAGAGCAAGGCGUUGGUGUGGGUAUGGGACUGUGGACGGGAGUGAAAUUUCAGAGGAGACAAGCUUUCGUUUGACGGGGACAUCACACGGCACCAGCUGGAAACGUGUCCACGUCAGGCGAUAUGACUUCCUAGUGCUUGGUGUGACGAAGCACGAGGCGGGCAGAAAUAUCUUUGGAACUUGCUUUAUUAUCCUGUAAUUUUAUACUACUCCUAGUGACAAGCCUGUUCUAUCACUAACCACUUCAAGAAAAAUAUCUCUGGAACUUGCUUAUCCCACUUUCGUACUCCCUUCAUCUUAAAAUAUACCGUGCUUCUCUAGGUUCAACUUUGACCAUACAUUUAAUGAACGAGAACCUAGACCAUACAUUUAACCAACGAGACCGACUGCGACGGAAUAAAAAAUUAUAUAGUUGAAAACUUUUUUGAAUACGGAUUCAUUGGUAUAAACUUUUGAUCUCACCGCAGUAUAAUUUUUGAUUCCGUCGCAGUCGGUCUCGUUGGUUAAAUUUAUGGUCAAAGAUAAAAAGUGAAAAUCGAGGAUACACUAUAUUGGAAGGAGGGAGUAAUGAUGUAUUAGUACUAACCACCACGUGGAAAAAGAUAUCUGGGGUGGCGUCACGUCUCAUGCCAGGACAAAAGAUGAAGUCUGCCUGAGGUGGGUUAAUUAGUCGCUAACCCAACGCGGUAGUGACGGUCGCUCACCAGACAGUGCAACGCUCUCGAUCGACAAACUCUGCGUCGUUUCUCAUCUAUAAUGCUAGAUCAUCGUUAGCGCGCGCUGCUGGUCCCUUUCAUUUUGACAAUAGAAUGACAUGAAUAUAUGUAAAUAUGUCGGCACACAAAACAUAUAAAUUAGAUCUAUAUAAACUUACUCACAUAUUGCAGAUAAUUUUUAUUAGUUCAAUAAAAACAUAAAGGGAUCCACUUACACAAAAUGAUUAGUUUUUUCUAGUCUUAUAUUUUUACAUUAUGAGAGUAAAGAUGCAAAACUGCCAACAAUUGCAUACAAGGACUAAAUCCUGUUGUACAUCAGCAAGGACCAAGUAAUGGUAUACAAUACAUAAUUUAGAACAGAAAACUACUACUAUGGCUAAGAAGUCUUUCGAAUAUAUGACACGACGAGGACACAGAUUGAUAAAAGAAGGAAGUAAAGAAGGCUUGGGGACUCUAUAUUAUUGGGUAUGCCACUCUGGUUGAUUCAAAAUUAACAUAAAUGUAUAGGGAACAUAUGCCACUUACCAUGAUUCAAGAACCAUGCAUAUCAUAUCCAUUCUCUGUUGAUUUGUCUAAUGCAUUUUGAUUUGGUUCAACUGAUUUCGAACUGCUUUUAUAGCACUGCAAAGAGCAUAAUAGCUCAAGGGAUGUAUCUUCCUUGCCGCUCUCCUAGAGACUACAAUACACUGGACAAGGAACUCAUCUUCAUUUAGAUAGUCCUCCAUUUUCCCUAAUGCAUGUUAACUACUUGAUCAGCAACCAUUUUAAAUAGUCAGCUCAUGAAUUCCGCUUCCGGAAAAAUAAUCUAGAUCCAACCUCCAAUAAUCCCCAAACCGAUAUACCAUAACCUGUAGCAAAAUAAAAACAGAUUUGGACGAGUCAGACUGAACCAAUGGAGAAGGUAAUGGUAAGGGAAAAUAUGGUAGAUUAAAGAUGACGCACAUCCUAAUGAAGAAGCAAUCCAUGUAGUAUUUUGGGAGAAGAGCUCAAAUCUAGGGCUCAACCACUGACCAGUUCCAUAGCAAACACACACGAACAUAUCACCACACGGAAGACCUCUCCUGCAAUGUGAUGUAAUCAUAUAGCAGAUGAGUUGAAUCCAGUAGGGGGGGGGGGGAGAUGGGUGCGUGCGGAGAUGGGGCUUACAUGUGAUGGUGGCAACAUGACCCAGAGUCGUUGGUUCGCCGCCGGCCUGCGAGAGAGAGGGUUGAGGUGAGCGAGCUAUCGUGGGAGAAAAAGAGAUGGGCGUCGGCAACAUCACCCGCCGCCGGACAGAUAGGGUGCCAUGACCGAUCGAUCCAUCCCUGCAUCGGCCUCUCACCUCUCGCGCAGCGGCGGAUCCCCUUCUCCUUUCUCGCGCACCGGCGGAUCCCCCUUCUCCUUUCUCUCGCAGCGACCGAGCAGUUUCUGUCCGCUGAGCAAUUUUUUUUUCUCAGGAGGGUUCGCGACCGGGUGGAUCAAUGACAGGCGUUCAGAAAAGACCACGAGUAGCGGCCCAUUAGGACAGGCGGCCCAGGUUGCGGUACAUCGGCGCUGAAACGAAGAUCUGACGGCCAGAAAAAGUUGAAACGCUAAUCUGACGGCCGAAAUUAUCAACUAAAGAUCCAACGGCCAAAAAGGUUGAUGGUUUGAGAGGGCUGGAAUAGUGCUCGGUUAUAAUGUCUUUAAAUAUGCUCUAGUGGCGCAAUCAUACCUUUUAGUGUUCACUUGCCUGGCUUAGUGCAACCCCUCUCUUCUUUUUGGAGUACGAUUUUCACAAUGAAACGCUCCCCAUCUUUACAAUAUGCUGAUGUUGGUCUUGGGUGGAUUUGGUUGGAUCCGGUCUUUGUUCUUCUUUAGUGGACCUGUUUUGAUUCUGCAGUCUUUCGUCUUUGCCCGUGUAUUUACAAGUUUGAUCCUUCUGAUCUACUUUUCUCUUUGUUGGCAACGGUUGUUGUUUUGUUCUGUUGUGCUGACCAGCCAGUGCCUUAGCUUAGCAUGACCAUUUCUCUGAUGUCCACUAUAAUAAAGUUUUCCCGCCUACGGUGAGGGAGAGGCGACGACGACGAAGACAUGCUUUCGACUCGUUUCAGUGCUUGUAGUCAUCGCUGGCUGGUCCAUAGCCGGGUUGUAAUUUCUGUCUCUGCUUGUGUUCUUUGUAAUGCAUGACAUGAUAGAUUAUGAAUAGAUCAGGAAUUUUUCUAAAACAUAUUGGAUGAAGAGAUAGAUCGUGUCACGGGCACCCUACACGCAAUUAAACCCUACACGAACACAAGCAUCGUGCUGCCAUACCGGCGUGUGGUUCCACUCCACGUUGGACACACAGGAGAAUGGAAUCGUAUGGCGGUAUGGGUAGCUGGCCGUGAUGAAGAGCGUCACGUCCGAACAUGGAGCGCAUGGACCAUCCAUGUGUGUAUGGGGAAGUACUCGAGGAGGAACUACCACUGUUGGGUUCGGUUCUCACCUCACAUUGCCACCACAUAUACAUUUUAAAUAGAAGCAAAAAUAAUCAAACAAACAAAAUAAAUUAACAAUAAAUAGUUCAAUUUCGUUAUCACUACAACCCAAACAAAUAGUUUAUCGUUCAGUACAACAAAUACUGCAAUAAACACAACAAAUAGUUCAUGAACAAUACAAUGUCGAAUGCAGAAAUCAUGCUCUUUGUCGUUCAUGCCAUGCCCACCACUCUUCAAUCAGAUCUUUCUGAAGUUCAUUGUGCGUUGCGGGACGCCGAAUAGCAUGAUAGGAGACAACAAAACGGGCUACCCUUUCAGCCCUCCGUCGCACUCGCACGGGAUGUUCCAAGAGCUCAUACUGUGAGUAGUCUAAAUCUUGGCCACGCUCAUUCUCGAUGAUCAUGUUGUGCAUGAUCACACAAGCGUGUAUGAUGUACCAAAGCAUUUUUUGAUCCCAAAAUCUAGCCGGUGCUCUCACAAUAACAAAUUGGGCUUGCAAAGUCCCAAAUGCUCUCUCCACAUCUUUUCUAGCCGCCGCCUGAGCAUUGUGGAAAUCAAGAUUUUUCUUACCUUCCGGCUUUUUCAACGGCUUCACGAAGGUUUGCCAUUUUGAAUAGAUGCCAUCCGCUAGAUAGUAGCCAUAGUUGUACGUACGGCCAUUUGCUACAAACUGCACUGGUGGCAACUCACCAUUUGCAAUCUUAUUCGUCAAUGGUGACUGGUUGACAACAUUGAUGUCAUUCAAAGAUCCGUGCAUUCCAAAGAAUGCAUGCCAAAUCCAAGUCUUCUGAUCGGCCACCGCUUCAAGGAUUAUAGUGGAACCCUUUUUUUUGGCUGUGGAAUUGCCCAUGCCAUGCCUUUGGACAAUUCUUCCAACUCCAAUGCAUGCAAUCUAUUGAGCCAGGCAUGCCAGAAAAGCCGCGAGCUUUGUUCAUCGCCAAUAGCCUUGCGACAUCUUCAGCAUUGGGAGAUCUCAAAUACUCCUCGCCAAACACUUGCAUAAUUCCCACUGCAAAGCGCUUGACACACAUGAUGGCUUGGCUCUCAUCCAUAGCCAAGUGAUCAUCAACUAGAUCAUCCGGGAUACCAUAUGCCAACAUACGCAAAGCGGCUGUCACCUUCUGAAAGGUGCUAUGCCCGAGCUCUCCGGCGGCAUUCCUCCUUUGCUGAAAAAACUGGUCAUGGCUCGCUAGUUUCUCUGCAAUGCGCCUGAACAAGUCGGUACUCAUCCUAAACCGGCGACGAAAAUACGACUCCGGGUAUGUGGGAUUCUCCACAAAAUAGUGCCUCAUCAAUCUGUUAUGGGCAUCAAUCCCAUCUCUCCAAAUUUUCUGCCGACCUAUAACCGAACCACCGUGCUUCGGUUUUUUAUUGAUAUGCAUAGCUAGGAUCAUUGCAAGAUCCUCCUCCUCUUCCAUAUCAAAUUCUUCUUCGGAAGAAUCAUACGACGAACUCAUCUAUAAUGUUCAAUACUAUACUAUAAAAACUACAAAUAAAAACAUGCACCAAAUUCAUGAAGUUUGAGCAAUACAUACCUUGUAGGCGUUUUGUCGAACACCUUGCGGGCGCGGGCGGCAGCGAGCGCUCGGGCGUUNNNNNNNNNNNNNNNNNNNNNNNNNNNNNNNNNNNNNNNNNNNNNNNNNNNNNNNNNNNNNNNNNNNNNNNNNNNNNNNNNNNNNNNNNNNNNNNNNNNNNNNNNNNNNNNNNNNNNNNNNNNNNNNNNNNNNNNNNNNNNNNNNNNNNNNNNNNNNNNNNNNNNNNNNNNNNNNNNNNNNNNNNNNNNNNNNNNNNNNNNNNNNNNNNNNNGGCGGCGCGGGGAUAGGCGGGGGAAGCGCCGGAACGGCCGCCGGGGGGCGCGGGCGGCGGCGGCGGCGCGGCUGGAUGGGGGUGAAAGUGGGAGAGCAAGCGCGCGAGAGUCCAGCGCGCGGGAACGGGCGCAGCAAAUAAGCGACACACGAUCGUUUCGGCCAGCGCGCUGAACAACAUAUGCCGCGCGCUAUUUUUGCGCGCCCGCUGAAGCAACUACAACGGUUGCACGCGCGCUAAAACAUCCAUUUUUGCGGCGCGGCGCUAGUUUGGCGCGGCUGUUGGAGAUGCUUUUAGAAAUGACCAGCGCUGUUCCUUGGGAGACAACAGCGCAGCACAGCACAGGGCUCGCUGUCAGCAAGGUUCCAGCAGACAUCUAUGGCGUAGCAUGCUUCUGAGCUUCUCAUAUAUAAUUGCAACUUGCUAGCCUUGUCUGAGACCUCUGAUGGUUAGCUCAGCCCAUUCUUUACCUUUUCAUGUCCGGUUACUGUCUGUAAUAUUUGCAUUCAUUAACAAUAACAAGUGCAAACGAGAACACAAUCAACUUAAUGCUCUAUAUCAGCUAUAAGUUAUUACAUGUUUUAGGGUAGUUGGCAUUUUUAUAAGCCGCCCGUUCGUCUCGAUCCAACGGUAGAUAAAUAGAUAGUACUAGGUAGUGAGGAAAGUAUUUAAAACUUAAAAGUACUCUCUCCGUCCCAAAAUUCUUGUCUUAGAUUUAUCCAAAUACGAAUGCAUCAAGUCACGUUUUAGUAUUAGGUACAUCCGUAUCUAGACAAAUCUAAGACAAAUUUUUUGGGACGGAGGGAGUACUUCGCAACAUUAGGUCAGUACUCAACAUUAGUUGGGGUCGCUUCUUAAUUGAAGGGUAAAUUAGUCAUUAGGAGCGCCGCCCCUCUCGUCCAAUCCACAACCGCUGCAGCCGCUCCUCGCCUCUUGCAUUCCAAAUUCAAUGUCACCUCUCUCCUCUUCCAUCCAUUCCAAAACCGCCGACCGCCGCUCCUCUCCUCCACCGCCGCCUGCCGCUCCUCUCCACUUCCAUCCAAUUCCAAAACCGCCGACCGCGAAGCAGAUUGAUGGAGGACAAUGAGCACGUGAAGAUCGCCGGCAGCGACGAGGUGAAGUUAGCAAGGCCGAGGGAGAUCGGUUCUUGGUUUGAAUUUUUGAUUCUCCAAAAUCUCUGUAAAACCAUGCAAAAACCAAAAAGAUAAAAAUAAGAAAUGCGUAUAGAAAAAUAAAAAAAAUCCUGAAGAAGCGCCCAACAAGCGGCACGUGACGGUGUCUGAGAGCGUGCCAAAUGACAUGCUCUUAGCCCACCCAAAGUGAACCUUGAGGGGCUCCCAAGAGGUAUCCCUAGAUAUCCCUAAAUUAGUUGUUCUCGCGUUAAUUGCGUUGUGUGUAGCUCUAGCUAACCCUAAAGCUUCAUGCGUGAAUCCUAUGUGGCGCUUACUGUGUCACUUUUUUUUUCCGAGAAACGCUCGCUGCUUCACAUUGUUGACCGUUCGCAUAGGAUGGGCGGACCAAUUUUAAUGUUAAGAAGAGAUUUGUCGUUCUGGUUUUGGGAACAUUUUGAAAGGUUCUAGUUCGGUUUUACAUGUUCUAGGGACCUUGUAGAAGGUUCAUGAACUGUUUUUCUGGCAUUAUUGUGUUUUUUUUCUUUUUUAUGUUUUCUUAUCAUUCUUUUCUAUUUGGUUUAUUUUUAUUUUUCCUUUUUCUUGUUUUCCUAACUAUAGGGAUUUGAAAUAUAUAUUCAGAAUUAAAAAAUAUAUUUACUUUUUUGAAAAAGUUCAGAAAUCUAAAAAGGUUAAAUUUUCAAAAAAUAUUCAGAAUUUUCAUAAUAUGUUCCUUUUUAAAAAAUUGUUUUAUAAAAUUCAAAAGUAUUUUGUAUUUCAGAAAGAUGUCUGCAAAUUUGAAAUUUUUUUUGGUACCUUUCAAAAAUAGUCUCGUUUUCAUAUUUUGUUCAUAAUAUUUUAAAAAUAUUAUUUUUCCGAAUUUUUUUUGGAAUUUCAAAAAAUUUCAUGAUUUUCAACGAGGUUCAUAUCUCCAAAACUAAUUCAGAAAAUUAAAGAACCGACAGAAUUUCAAAUAAGGUGUGUUUUCAUAAAUUGUUCCUGUAUUCAAUUUACAUUAGCAAAUUCAAAAACAGUUCAUUUUUUCAGAAAAUGUAUGCAUGUACCAAAAAAUGAGAAAAAUAUUUCUGAUUCUGAAAAAAAUAUCACACAAAAAUUAUUCAUGAAAAAUAGCAGAUCUAUGUGGAGCACCGAAAAUGUUCACAAAUUAGAAAAAGGACAAGAAAAGGAAAGUAAAAAUGGAUAAGAAAAAAAGAUAUAAAAAGGAAAGGAAAGAAAAGUAGAUAAACUAAAAGAAGAUAGCAAGAGUAAAAGGAUGGGGAAAACCUUCUAGAACCUUCCCAGAUAGGGCGGAACUUCCUAAUGUUUCACAAAAUCUUCUCUUACGCUCCCGGUAAAUGGGCCGGCCCGCUAGACAUGACUGUAGGUGAUUGUGAGGAUAGCACUCACAUUGAGUGAUAUACAUCAUUUGCGUUAAGCAAGCCCUAAGGAAGCGUCACUUCUGUUUAACACGGUGUACCACAUUUGCUACUGAGCGCUCUCGUACCUGUCCUAUCCGAUUGAGCCAUAAGUGAGAGCGAGAAAACACAUUUGUUUUCUUUUUUUUUAACUUAAGUUUUUUUUCAGAAAGGUUUUAUUUUAAUUUGAAAAUAUUAAAGAAGCAGGGAAAAAUCAUGAAUUUUUAAAAACUUCAUUAUUUUUAAAACAUAUUAGCAAAUUCAAAAAAUGUUCACAAAGUUUUGAAAAAUUCAUGAAUCCGAAAAAUAUAAUUGAUUUGAAAGUGAUUUCAUCAAUUUGAUUUUUUUCCCAAAAUGUUCAAGAACUUGAGAAUUGUUUCAGAAUUUUCAAAUUGUCCGAGAUUUUUUUUUCAUGAAUUUAGAAAGUUCCACAAAUUUUCAAACUGUUCAUGACUUUGAAAAAUUGGUCACAAUUUGGAAUUUAAGGACUGCAAAAAUUAUUGAAAUAUAAAUUGUUCAGGAAUUUACAAUUGUUUGCGAAUUUGAAUAAUGUUCCGUAAUUUGAAAUUAUGUUUAAAUGUGAAACAUGCUCAAUAAAAUCUUCACGGAUUUUAUAAACCUCAAGAAUUCUGAAAAUGUUUUUGAUUUCGACGAAUGUGCACGAAUUUUAAAAAGGUUCAUCAUUUCAAAAAAUGAUCACAAAUUCAUAAAAAGAAAGGGAAGAUAACAUAAAAAAAUUAGGAAAAACAAAACAAAAAAUAGAAAGAAAAUCUAGAAAAAAAAUCAAUAAAAUCGGUAUGGUCUCCCUAGUUGUUCGCUUCCUCCUGCUAAAUCAGUCGUGUCGGUAAUACUGUUUAGUGGGCGAUCGACAUGAUAUUACUUUCCUGCUAAAUCAGUCAUGUCUUUAGACUAAGUUUAUACUAAGGGAGUUAUACGGGCGCCGUGUGUCGUGAAGGUACUAUUUGGUGCCCCAAAUAGGAAAUGCCCACGAUCUAAGUCGUCAAUGUUUAAGCGGACCACUCGAGAAGCUGCCAAGUCUUAGAGUCAUAUGGACACAGCCCAUCCAGUCAGAUGACAGGGCGGUCGCUCAACAUGCAUGGGGUAUCCGCUACCCGUGAAACCAACGGGUAAAAAUCCUAUUAAGGUAAGGGUUUGGGAAAAAUAAUUAUCCAUGGGAUUAUAAAUGGAAAAAAAAUUUAUACCCAUCAAGUAAGCCGGGAUGGGUAUGAGAAGUCAAUACCCAUCACUACAAAAAAAAAGACACAUCCGUGACAUUUUGGAUUAAACGAUUUUUUUUGUCAUACUUAUGACACUUCUAUGACGAUAAUUGUGACAAAACUAGGUAUCAUCAUAGAUGUGGUGAGCUCCUUCUUCAAUGACAAAAAAUCAUGACAGAAAAUGAGCUUUUCGUCCCGGGCAAGCCGGAGACGCAACUGCAUGACAUUCUUUGGACCGUCCAUGAUGGAAAAAACCGUGAUAGAAGCGAGGGCGAGGAAAAUGGGCUUUUCGUCCUGGGCGGGCCGGAGACGCAGCUGCAUGUCAUUUUACUUUCAUGCUAAGCGAGGGCGAGGAUAAUUGUGACAAAAUUAUUGCGCGCGCUGCUGGGUCCCUACUGUCAUCCUCAGCAUGCACAGUCAUCUCCUUAUUCCUCUCGGUUGUUGACCAUGUUGACAACACCGGAGGGCGGCGCCACAGCGAGCGAACAAAGGCGGAGGACGAUGAUGAGGUCUCAGACGGAAACGAACAGGAGCCGGGGAAGAUGCGCAGAGUUUUAGGGUGCGAUGUGGCCACGAUGCGUGCGCGGCAGCACAGCUAGCCGUGGGAGACGGGAGCAGGCGAUCCGCCGGCGCUGGUUUAGCUUUGGCGGCUCGAGGAAGAAGAGACUGAAGAAACAUAACAGACGUUGAAUGUCAGUCCAACGGUCAAGGUUGGCAAUAUCGUUUGUUGACUAAGCCGACACCAAGUAGCAUACUUUUUUAUAUAUAGGAAGAAAAGAAAAACUGGGCACGUUCGCGUGAUAACAUUCCCUGAACUGUGAAUGUUCGAUCUUGUGUUGCAACUAAAACUGCGAGAAAAAUGCGUUCGUCUGCCAUCCUCCUCCUAGGAAAUGUUUGCCACACAAGUGACUAGUGUCGUGGUUCUAAGGCUGACAGUAGAAAGGGGGGUAGGUAUGGAGAGGCAAGAUCUCAGCUAUGGUGAAGGUGUACACACAAGAUUUACGAGUUCAGGCCCUUCUCGGAGGAAGUAAUAGCCCUACGUCUCGGUGCCCGGAGUCGGUCGACUGGAUUAUAUGUGUUUGGUAUUACAAGGGGUGCGAACCCUUGUCCUAGAGGAGGGGCGUGGCUUAUAUAGAGUGCGCCAGGACCCCAACCAUCCUCCAUUACAAGGGGCUUAAUGUACAUAAAGUAGGGGCAUUAUUGAUAAUGCCAAUCUUAAGUGCUAUUAAUGACCUUAAAGACUACGAAGUGAACGCCCGACCGUGGUAAUGCUGAGUGACUCCUGAUCUUCGGUAGGUCGAGUGGUUCCUUGUAUGGUCGAGUGACAACAAGUAGGAGGGGUAUCCGAGUGAUAUGAUUGGUCGAGUGGAUUGCACUCGACACCUUUGACUGGGGGUCCUUCGUUGCCUCUUGGACUUCUUACCUUCUAGGGUAGUGACCUUGUGUAGGACUUAUAGGUCAGGCCUAUGACCCUAUCCCAGGUCUGUAUCCUCAUCAGUAGCCCCCGAAUGGAUUAAGGUUCGAGUGAAAAGUAGGUUGAAGUUGAACUUGUUCUGAACUUUGCACCUCGCGAGUGUUUUUCGCAGGAUGGAAGACUCACGUUGGUACUUCAGCGUUGAUUCAGUCGCCUUGAUCCAUUCAGAAAGUUGUCGACUGAACUUGUGGCAUCAUCUGUCGAGUGCUGUCUUGGGGUGCAGAAUCUUUGGCGCGAUUGAUCGCAGGGUAUCUCGGAUUUCACGGGAUAUGAAAUUUCGGGGAAGUGCACGGGACGGGGCAUGCCGAAGUAAGCGGGGCGGAUAAAUAGUAGUGCCUCGAUUUCCGUGCCGCCUUUUUCGCCACGUACGUUGCGCGUGACUGUUGCGGGAUUUGACAGGAUCGCCUGGUCCCACGCGUGAGCCACUUGGAAGCAACCUUUUAUAAGGCAACGGGGCCAAGGCGUCCGCACUGUGCACGCCUGCUUCUCUUUCUUCUUCCUUUGCUUCUCCACCGCAUCCAGUUCUUCUGCUCUCGACGCUGCCGCUCCGCCGCCAUGGUAAAGGACAAGACGGCAGCGCUGGAGCACGCGAAGAAGGCGACAGGGGCGGCCAAAGGUAAGAAGCAUAACCGCGGGUCAUCGUCACGUGUGGGGCUGCCGCCAGGCUGGAUCCAGGGCGAUUGGAUCCGGUCUUCGAUCCGGCAAGAAGAUCUUGACGAACUGGAGGAGUCCGGGCUGAUCGCCAAGGGUGCAGCAAGGCCACCUGAGGGGGAGACGGAGCCGCAACCUCGACCUGGUGAGUGUGUACUGCUUGCCACCCACGUCGACCGGGGUUUUUUGCUCCCUCCGCACCCCUUCUUCCGGGGCUUCCUGAACUUCUUCGGUGCCCAACUCCACCAUUUUUCUCCCAAUACCAUCAUGUACCUUGCCGCAUUCGUGUUGAUGUGUGAAAACUUUUUGGGGUGUCGACGCACUAGGGCCUUUUCAAACAUAUCUUUACCAUCCGUUCCCAGUCGGUGAAGAAAGCGAAAGCGAGUGACUGAAAGACCCAUGUCAUCCAGAUGUGUGGGGGUUUGGGUAUCCAAAAGAGGCAUAGGAGUUCUUUCCCUGCUAUGACUCUUCCUGAAUCGAUUAGGGGUUGGCAGUCGACCUGGUUCUAUUGCCAGGAUGUUCCAACUCCAGGUCAGUCGACUGACCUUCCCCACUUCACUUUCGACCGUGUCCAGACCCCUUCUCCACUGAAGGUGACUGCUGCUAAGAACAUGGAGAUGAAGAUGUUGGUUGAGAAAGUGGUCCAACUGAUUAACGAGGGUGUCACUGGCCUGCACCUAUUGGAAGUAUUCCUUAGUCGACGCAUCCAGCCUCUUCAGGCCCGUGACCAUCCCAUGUGGCUGUACUCCGGGUCCGACGACACCGCUCGGGUUCAUCCAGAGGAAGUGCCACCCAAGACUGUGGUCGUGUGGUUGAAGGGCAUCAUAGGCAACCAGGACAACCCCAGAGGAGCUAGGCGAGUCAUCCCCUUCAGUGACGACAAUCAGCCCGACAAGGCAUGUUCUUUAUUCCGACUGUCUUUGCAUACAUAUUACGAUGUUUCUCUCUCUCUACAAUUCCGUGAGAGGUCAUCGUGCUUCCUGAUGAUGAAGAAGAGGGAGUGCCUCUAGAGGAGAGGAGGAGGAGAGGUGGAGGCUCGAGCAGGAGAAAACUUGAAGUUCAAGUCCCUCAGUCGACGCCGGCGCUUGAGGCGGUGGUCGAGCAUUCCGGAGGUCCGGUUCGGACCAAUGUCACAUUCGCCAGCCCGCCGACGACUGAUCGUCCAUCGGGGUCGACUGCUCCGGUUACUGCAGCUCCAGUGCAACUCCAGUCGUUUGACCCAGUAGCUGCUUUGGCUCCCUUGGAGCCAUCACUCUUCGCUGCAUAUCAGACCCCAGAUGAUUCGCCAAGUGCUGCCAGGGAGGCUCUUCGCCAGGUGAACCUUGUCAUGGAGUAGGUGAAGGUGAUGCACGAGGCCAGUCAGGUGGCUUAUAACGCCAGCACAUCCCUACAGACCAAUGUUCAGGUCAGCGAACUCCGACUGAAUUUUUUGAAUGCUGUUUUAUAUCCGAUCACCCACUGGGGUGUGCCUGUGUUUAGAGUUUAGGAAAUCCUCCACUUCACUCGACUCGUGAUGAGUCUUAGUGGUCUGUCCGGAUCAGUGGGGGCACGCUAAGUGCACCCACUAGGUGUAAUCCCCGAGACCACGGUCGACUGCUGGCAGUCGACUGAGGUCUUAGAAUCCUUUUUUUCUCGCGCUAGGCAGACCCUGCCAAGUGUUGAUCUGAACCAGUGGGGGCACGCUAAGUGCACCCACUGGGUGUAGUCCCUGAGACUACUGUUGAAUAUUUGAUUCGGCAGUAGUCUUAGAGUAACUUAUCACUGUCAUUGUCUCUUAUUUCUGUCGACUGACAUAUCUCUCUCGCUGACUGCAGAGGUCUUGUAAUUUUGGAGCUCGAUUGUCUAAGUUAAAGAAGAAGCAUAUCAGCGUUGAACUUGGUCUUGAACUCGCAAAGAAGAACCUCAAGACUGCUCAAGAAGAGACGACCAUCAUGGGAGGUAACCAAUCGACUCUUUGCCACUUAGUAACUCACAUCUUUCACUGCUUUUUCUUCCAGUCUCUUUGAACCGAGUGACUUCACACAAGCAGAUGUGCAUAGUGAAAACCGUCAACUUUAGGCUCGUCUGAAGAGUGUUGUUCCUUUAGAGAAAAUGAAGGAAGCUUUGGAGAAGAAGGACCAGGAUCUUGCUGCUGCUUAGAAGGAAGCACGUGAGAAGACAACGCUUGCGGACGAGAAGCUGGCUUCGGUCGGCAAGUUGGAAGAGGAGAACGCGAAGUUGAAGACCGCCAUCUCGGAAGCCAAUCGAGAAGUCGAGCAAGUGAAGAAGGACAAGGAGAACCUGACCACUGAAGUUGGAUGCCUCAGAGCCAAGACAGGCAAGUUAGAGUCCUAUCUAGGACAACUUGCCGCAACACUGGUUCUGAAGCUUGAAGGUACAGCCGCUCGACUGGUCAGUUGUCGUCGAUUGAAGUAUGUAGUAAUAUUGUCGACUCACUAUUUUUCGUGAUGGGACAAAACUUUUCCAGGAUUUUGAAGCUGAAACUGGGCGGGUCGAGACAGGUCUCGACCCCAUCAAUUGUCCUGUGAAGGAUGAUGUUGCGAUGGAUUUGCUGCGGUUGAAAUCACUCUUGGACGGCGCCGUUGCCUAUCUGGCUCGACUGAAGGCUGCGAUGACCCGAGUGGACGCUGAACUCUAGCCUCAGGAGGAAAUUUCUCAAGACCUCGAGUCACUGAUGACUCGACUCAAUCAGAUUCCUGGUCGAGUGCAGGAGUGAAAGAAGUCAUCCGCUCGCUGUGGCACUGACAUCGCCCUGUCACUGGUUCGAGUGCACUGCAAGGACGCCAGGGAAGACAAGUUGGCGGUUAUCAAGGUUGCGAAUACUAAGAAGCACACUUUCUAGUCCUUCAUGGACACCUUCCUUGAGGCUGCCACUCGCAUUGCGGAUAGCAUUGACCUUGACAGCUUCUGCGAUCCAGCCAGCCCUUCUCCCGCCGAGUGAUUGAAAAAACAUUAUGCAUCACCCUUAUUUGCCUCGGAAUGCCGAGUGGAUUUGUAAUCAUUGAAACUCCUUCGGGCCUGACACCCAAGUACUUUUAAUUCGCUGUUAGAAACCUUUGGGUUUAUCUAAACUUGGCUUAUCUUUGAAUAUGUUGUGUUUGUCUUCGAGCGGGACUUGCUCUUCACUCAGAUUAGUGUUUGUACUCUCGAUGCAGCUUCCAAGGAAGAGGCCGCAGUCGACCUAUUGGACGAGCCUUGAGCGGUAUUGAUCAUCUUAUCAGCGAGGCAUUCGGCAAUGGUCUUGACAUUCCUGGAAGCAGUUCGCCUUGGCCCUAGCUGUUGGAUGAACAUUUUCGCGGCACUGAUUAGCUCAUCAGCGAGGCAUUCAGCAAUGGUCUUGACAUCCCUGAAAGCAGCUCACCCUGGCGUCAGUUUGCCUCGGCAGUGCGUACAAUCUCGUCCUUCUUCUUGACGGUGCAACCCCUGGGGGAGGGGUCGUGGUCGACCCGUUCCACUCGGCUGGGUUUUUCAAAUUUAGCAAGCACUAGACUGCAGCUAAGCAGUGCGCACAAUCUCGUCCUUCUUUUUGAUGGUGCAGCCCCGGGGGGAAGGGUCGUGGUCGACCCAUACCGUUCAGUAGGAUCUUUCCAACUUAGGCGAGUAUUGGACUGCAGCUAAGCCUCUGAGUGAGAGGACUGCUCGCCACUCGGUAGGAUUUUUUAUACUUAGGCGAGUACUGGACUGCAGCUAAGCCCCCGAGUGAGAGGACUGCUCGCCACUCGGUAGGAUUUUUAACACUUAGGCGAGUACUGGACUGCAACUAAGCCCCCCGAGUGAGAGGCUGGCUGGACACUCGGUAGGAUUUUUUAUACUUAGGUNNNNNNNNNNNNNNNNNNNNNNNNNNNNNNNNNNNNNNNNNNNNNNNNNNNNNNNNNNNNNNNNNNNNNNNNNNNNNNNNNNNNNNNNNNNNNNNNNNNNNNNNNNNNNNNNNNNNNNNNNNNNNNNNNNNNNNNNNNNNNNNNNNNNNNNNNNNNNNNNNNNNNNNNNNNNNNNNNNNNNNNNNNNNNNNNNNNNNNNNNNNNNNNNNNNNNNNNNNGCGUUGGCUGUUGGAUGAGCCUUUGGCAGUGGGCACAAUCUCAUCCUUCUUCUCGACGGUGCAGCCCCGGGGGGAGGGGUCGUGGUCGAGCACUCGGUAGGAUUUUUUAUACUUAGGCGAGUACUGGACUGCAGCUAAGCACCCGAGUGAGAGGAUUGCUCACCACUCGGUAGGAUUUUUUAUACUUAGGCAAGUACUGGCCUGCAGCUAAGCCCCCGAGUGAGAGGAUUGCUCACCACUCGGUAGGAUUUUUUAUACUUAGGCGAGUACUGGACUGCAGCUAAGCCCUCGAGUGAGAGGAUUGCUCACCACUUGGUAGGAUUUUUUAUACUUAGNNNNNNNNNNNNNNNNNNNNNNNNNNNNNNNNNNNNNNNNNNNNNNNNNNNNNNNNNNNNNNNNNNNNNNNNNNNNNNNNNNNNNNNNNNNNNNNNNNNNNNNNNNNNNNNNNNNNNNNNNNNNNNNNNNNNNNNNNNNNNNNNNNNNNNNNNNNNNNNNNNNNNNNNNNNNNNNNNNNNNNNNNNNNNNNNNNNNNNNNNNNNNNNNNNNNNNNNNNNNNNNNNNNNNNNNNNNNNNNNNNNNNNNNNNNNNNNNNNNNNNNNNNNNNNNNNNNNNNNNNNNNNNNNNNNNNNNNNNNNNNNNNNNNNNNNNNNNNNNNNNNNNNNNNNNNNNNNNNNNNNNNNNNNNNNNNNNNNNNNNNNNNNNNNNNNNNNNNNNNNNNNNNNNNNNNNNNNNNNNNNNNNNNNNNNNNNNNNNNNNNNNNNNNNNNNNNNNNNNNNNNNNNNNCCGAGUGAGAGGCUGGCUCACCACUCGGUACGAUUUUUUAAAACUUAGGCGAGUACUGGACUGCAGCUAAGCCCCCGAGUGAGAGGCUGGCUCACCACUCGGUAGGAUUUUUUAACACUUAGGCGAGUACUGUACUGCAACUAAGCCCCCGAGUGAGAGGCUGGCUCACCACUCGGUAGGAUUUUUUAACACUUAGGUGAGUACUGGACUGCAGCUAAGCCCCCGAGUGAGAGGCUGACUCACCACUCGGUAGGAUUUUUCUUGUCAACUUAGGCGAAACGGAUUCGCAGCUAAGGCACCCACUGGGGGAUUUUAGAACAUGUAAAAAAUGAACAACAAUCAUUUGGAAGACUGUAAAAUCAUGUCUUUGAUAAUCAAACUAAAAGGUAUUUCUUAUUACAUCUCAACAGUCUGAAUGCUUAAGAGUAAAAAGGGCAAAGCAGAUCCGCAUUCCAGGCGCGUGGCUCAUCUUUAUUGUGCUCAACGUUGAAAAGACGAUAUGCUCCGUUGUGGAGCACUUUGGUGAUUACAAAGGGGCCCUCCCAAGCAGGAGCGAGCUUGUGUGGUUUCUGCUGGUCCACUCGAAGAACCAAGUCCCCUUCCUGAAAUGCCCGACCGCUUACGUUUCUGGCAUGGAAUCGACGCAGGUCUUGUUGAUAAAUGGUCGACUGGAUCAAGGCCAUCUCUCUUUCUUCUUCCAGGAGGUCGACUGCAUCUUGCCGAGCCUGUUCUGCUUCUGCUUCCGAGAAGAGCUCGACUCGGGGUGCAUUGUGGAGCAGAUCGCUCGGGAGUACGGCUUCAACUCCAUAGACUAAGAAGAAUGGAGUUCUUCCAGUCGACCGAUUAGGAGUUGUCCUUAAUCCCCAAAGUACUGAUGGAAGUUCAUCGACCCAGGCACCUGCUGCAUGCUUGAGGUCGCGCAUCAAUUGGGGUUUCAGUCCUUUGAGAAUCAAUCCAUUUGCUCUUUCAGCCUGCCCAUUCGAAUGAGGAUGGGCGACUGAAGCGUAAUCGACCCUCGUGCCUUGGGAAGCACAAAAGGCUCUGAACUUAUCAGAAUCGAAGUUCGACCCAUUAUCCGUGAUGAUGCUGUGCGGAACAUCAUAUCUGAAUAUUAAUUCUCGGAUGAAACUCACAGCCGUACUCGCUUCAAGGUUUUUAAUGGGCUUGGCUUUGAUCCAUUUGGUAAAUUUGUUGACUGCUACCAGCACAUGGGUAAACCCACUCCUGCCGGUCCUCAGAGGUCCAACCAUGUCCAAUCCCCAGAUAGCGAAAGGCCAGACGUGUGGAAUAGUCUUCAGAGCUGAUGCGGGCUUAUGGGACAUGUUGGAGUAAAACUGAAAACCUUCACAUUUGUCUACUAUUUCCUUCGCCAUCUCGUUGGCAUGAGGUGUUGGAAAUAUGCCCUAGAGGCAAUAAUAAUAUGGUUAUUAUUGUAUUUCUUUGUUCAUGAUAAUUGUCUACUAUUCAUGCUAUAAUUGUAUUGACCGGAAACCGCAAUACAUGUGUGAAUACAUAGACCACAACAUGUCCCUAGUGAGCCUCUAGUUGACUAGCUCGUUGAUCAACAGAUGGUCAUGGUUUCCUGACCAUGGACAUUGGAUGUCAUUGAUAACGGGAUCACAUCAUUAGGAGAAUGAUGUGAUGGACAAGACCCAAUCCUAAGCCUAGCACAAGAUUAUGUAGUUCGUAUGCUAAAGAUUUUCUAAAUGUCAAGUAUCUUUUCCUUAGACCAUGAGAUUGUGCAACUCCCGGACACCGUAAGAAUGCUUUGGUUGUGCGAAACAUUACAACGUAACUGGGUGGCUAUAAAGGUGCACUACGGGUAUCUCCGAAAGUGUCUGUUGGGUUGGUACGAAUCGAGACUGGGAUUUUUCACUACGUGUGACGGAGAGGUAUCUCUGGACCCACUCGGUAGGACAUCAUCAUAAUGUGCACAAUGUGAUCAAGGAGUUGAUCUCGGGAUGAUGUGUUAUGGAACGAGUAAAGAGACUUGCCGGUAACGAGAUUGAACAAGGUAUCGGGAUACCGAUGAUCGAAUCUCGGGCAAGUACUAUACCGGUAGACAAAGGGAAUUGUAUACGGGAUUGAUUGAAUCCUUGACAUCAUGGUUCAUCCGAUGAGAUCAUCGUGGAACAUGUGGGAGCCAAGAUGGGUAUCCAGAUCCCGCUGUUGGUUAUAGACCGGAGAGUUGUCUCGGUCAUGUCUGCAUGGUUCCCUAACCCGUAGGGUCUACACACUUAAGGUUUGAUGAUGCUAGGGUUAUAGGGAAUAGAUAUACGUGGUUACCGUAUGUUGUCCGGAGUCCCGGAUGAGAUCCCGGACAUCACGAGGAGUUCCGGAAUGGUCCGGAGGUAAAGAUUUAUAUAUGGGAAGUCCUGUUUUGGUCACCGGAAAGGUUUCGGGUGCUAUCGGUAACGUACCGGGACCACCGGGAGGGUCCCAGGGGUCCACCAGGUGGGGCCACCGGCCCCAGAGGGCUGCGUAGGCCAAGUGUGGGAGGGUACCAGCCCCAGGUGGGCUAGUGCGCCCCCCACCAAGGCCCAAGGCGCAGGGAGAGUGGGAGGGUGCAAAACCCUAGGUCCAUAUGGGCCUUAAGCCCCACCCUAGGGCGCCCCCUCUCUUCCCCCCCCUUGGCCGCACCCUAGAUGGGUUUUGGGUGCUGCCGCCAACCCUAGGGAGGGAACCCUAUAUGGGGGCGCAUCCCCUCCCCUUCCCAUAUAUAUACUUGAGGUAUUGGGGCUGCAAAACACAUGAGAUGAACUCUCCCAAGGCGCAACCCUACCUCUCUCCCUCCUCGUCUCUUGCGGUGCUUGGCGAAGCCCUGCUGGAGUGCCACGCUCCUCCAUCACCACCACGCCGUUGUGCUGUUGCUGGAUGAAGUCUUCUCCAACCUCUCCCUCUCUCCUUACUGGAUCAAGGCAUGGGAGACGUCACCGGGCUGCACGUGUGUUGAACACGGAGGUGCCGUCCGUUCGGCACUAGGAUCUUCGGUGAUUUGGAUCACAACGAGUACGACUCCCUCAACCUCUUGAACGCUUCCGCUCGCGAUCUACAAGGGUAUGUAGAUGCACUCCUCUCUCUCGUUGCUAGUCUCUCCAUAGAUAGAUCUUGGUGACUCGUAGGAAAAUUUUGAAUUUCUGCUACGUUCACCAAUAGUGGCAUCAUGAGCUAGGUCUAUUGCAUAGAUUCUAUGCACGAGUAGAACACAAGUUGUUGUGGGCGUUGAUUUUGUUCAAUAUGCUUACCGUUACUAGUCCUAUCUUGUUUCGACGGUAUUGUGGGAUGAAGCGGCCCGGACCGACCUUACACGUACACUUACGUGAGACAGGUUCCACCGGCUGACAUGCACUUGUUGCAUAAGGUGGCUAGUGGAUGCCAGUCUCUCCCACUUUAGUCGGAUCGGAUUCGAUGAAAAGGGUCCUUAUGAAGGGUAAAUAGCAAUUGGCAUAUCACGCUGUGGCUUUUGCGUAGGUAAGAAACGUUCUUGCUAGAAACCCAUAGCAGCCACGUAAAACAUGGAAACAACAAUUAGAGGACGUCUAACUUGUUUUUGCAGGGUAUGCUAUGUGAUGUGAUAUGACCAAAAGAAUGUGAUGAAUGAUAUGUGAUGUGAUAUGGCCAAAAGAAUGUGAUGAAUGAUAUGUGAUGUGAUAUGGCCAAAAGAAUGUGAUGAAUGAUAUGUGAUGUAUGAGAUUGAUCAUGUUCUUGUAAUAGGAAUCACGACUUGCAUAUCGAUGAGUAUGACAACCGGCAGGAGCCAUAGGAGUUGUCUUUAUUUAUUGUAUGACCUGCGUGUCACGGAAUAACGCCAUGUAAUUACUUUACUUCAUUGCUAAACCGUUAGCCAUAGUAGUAGAAGUAAUAGUUGGCAAGACAACUUCAUGGAGACACGAUGAUGGAGAUCAUGGUGUCAUACCAGUGACGAUGAUUAUCAUGGAGCCCCGAAGAUGGAGAUCAGAAGGAGUAAAAUGAUAUUGGCCGUAUCAUAUCACUUUUUGAUUGCAUGUGAUGUUUAUCAUGUUUAUGCAUCUUAUUUGCUUAGAAUGACGGUAGUAAAUAAGAUGAUCCCUCAUAAUAAUUUCAAGAAAGUGUUCCCCCUAACUGUGCACCGUUGCGAAAGUUUGUUGUUUUGAAGCACCACGUGAUGAUCGGGUGUGAUAGAUUCUAACAUUCACAUACAACGGGUGUAAGCCAGAUUUACACACGCGAAACACUUAGGUUGACUUGACGAGCCUAGCAUGUACAGACAUGGCCUCGGAACACAAGAGACCGAAAGGUCGAACAUGAGUCGUAUAGUGGAUACGAUCAACAUGAAGAUGUUCACCGAUGAUGACUAGUCCGUCUCACGUGAUGAUUGGACACGACCUAGUUGACUCGGAUCAUGUAUCACUUAGAUGACUAGAGGGAUGUCUAUCUGAGUGGGAGUUGAUUAGAUGAACUUAAUUAUCCUGAACAUAGUCAAAAGGUCUUUGCAACUUAUGUCGUAGCUCGCGUUUUAGUUCUACUGUUUUAGAUAUGUUCCUAGAGAAAAUUUAGUUGAAAGUUAAUAGUAGCAAUUAUGCAGACUGGGUCCGUAAACUGAUGACUGUCCUCAUUGCUGCGCAGAAGGCUUAUGUCCUUAAUGCACCGCUCGGUGUGCUGAACCUUGAGCGUCGUCUGUGGAUGUUGCAAACAUCUGACAUACACGUUUUGAUGACUACGUGAUAGUUCAGUAAUGUUAAACGGUUUAGAAUUGAGGCACCGAAGACGUUUUUGAAACGUCGCGGAACAUAUGAGAUGUUCCGAGGGCUGAAAUUGGGAUUUUAGGCUCGUGCCCACGUCAAGAGGUAUAAGACCUACGACGAGUUUCUUAGCCUACAAACUAAGGGAGAAAAGCUCAAUCGUUGAGCUUGUACUCAGAUUGUCUGGGUACAACAAUCGCUUGAAUCAAGUGGGAGUUAAUCUUCCAGAUGAGAUAGUGAUGUUUCUCCAAAGACAUUGCCACCAAGCUACUAGAGCUUCAUGAUGAACUAUAACAUAUCAGGGAUAGAUAUGAUGAUCCUUGAAAUAUUCGCGAUGUUUGACACCGCGAAAGUAGAAAUCAAGAAGGAGCAUCAAUUGUUGAUGGUUAGUGAAACCACUAGUUUCAAGAAGGGCAAGGGCAAGAAGGGGUACUUCAUGAAACGACAAAUCAGUUGCUGCUCCAGUGAAGAAACCCAGGGUUGAACCCAAACCCGAGACUAAGUGCUUCUGUAACGAGGGAACAGUCACUGAAGCAGAACUACCCUAGAUACUUGGUAGAUGAGAAGGCUGGCAAGAUUGACAGAAGUAUAUUGGAUAUACAUUGUAUUAAAUGUGUACUUUACUAGUACUCCUAGUAGCACCAGGGUAAUAAGAUACCGGUUCGGUUGCUAAGUGUUAGUAACUCGAAAUAAAAGAGCUAUGGAAUAAAUGGAGACUAGCUAAAGGUGAGAUAACGAUGUGUGUUGGAAGUGUUUCCAAAGGUUGAUGUGAUCAAGCAUCGCCUGCUCCCUCUACCAUCGAGAUUGGUGUUAAACCUAAAUAAUUGUUAUUUGGUGUUUGUGUUGAGCAUAGACAUGAUUGGAUUAUGUCUAUCGCAAUACGGUUUUUCAUUUAAGAAGAAUAAUGGUUACUCUGUUUAUUUGAAUAAUACCUUCAAUGGUCUUGCACCUAAAAUGAAUGGUUUAUUGAAUCUUGAUCAUAGUGAUACACAUGUUCAUGCCAAAAGAUAUAAGAUAGUAAUGAUAGUACCACCUGCUUGUGGCACUGCCAUGUAAGUCAUAUUGGUAUAAAACGCAUGAAGAAGCUCCAUGUUGAUGGAUCUUUGGACUCACUCGUUUUUUGAAAAGUUUGAGACAUGCGAACCAUGUCUAUUGGUAUGUACGCAUGGAGAAACUCCAUGCAGAUGGAUCGUUUGGACUCACUUGAUUUUGAAUCACUUGAGACAUGCAAAUCAUACCACAUGGGCAAGAUGACUGAAAAGCCUCGUUUUCAGUAAGAUGGAACAAGAAAGCAACUUGUUGGAGGUAAUACAUUUUGAUGUGUGCAGUCCAAUGAGUGUUGAGGCACGCAGUGGAUAUCAUUAUGUUCUUACUUCAUAGAUGAUUUGAGUAGAUGCUGUAUAUUUACUUGAUGAAACAUAAGUCUGAAUUAUUGAAAGGUUCAAGUAAUUUCAGAGUGAGGUUGAAGAUCUUCGUGACAAGAGGAUAAAAUGUCUAUGAUAUGAUCAUAGAGAUGAAUAUCUGAGUUGCGAGUUUGGUACACAAUUAAGACAUUGUGGAAAUUGUUUCACAACUAACACCGCCUAGAACACCAUAGUGUGUUGGUGUGUCCGAACAUCAUAGCUGCACCUUAUUGGAUAUGGUGCAUACCAUGAUGUCUCUUAUCGAAUUACCACUAUCAUUCAUGGGUUAGGCAUUAGAGACAACCGCAUUCACUUUAAAUAGGGAACCACGUAAUUCCGUUGAGAUGACACCAUAUGAACUAUGGUUUAGAGAAACCUAAGCUGUCGUUUCUUGAAAGUUUGGGGCUGCGACGCUUAUGUGAAAAAGUUUCAUCGUGAUAAGCUCGAACCCAAAACGGAUAAAUGCAUCUUCAUAGGAUACCCAAAAUGGUUGGGUAUACCUCCUAUCUCAGAUCCGGAAGCAAAAGUAAUUGUUUCUAGAAACGGGUCCUUUCUCGAGGAAAAGUUUCUCUCGAAAGAAUUGAGUGGGAGGAUGGUGGAGACUUGAUGAGGUUAUUGAACCAUCACUUCAACCAGUGUGUAGCAGGGCACAAGAAGUUGUUCCUGUGGCACCUACACCAAUUGAAGUGGAAGUUAAUGAUAGUGAUCAUGAAACUUCGGAUCAAGUCACUACCGAACCUCGUAGGGUGACAAGGAUGCGUACUACUUCAGAAUGGUACAGUAAUCAUGUCUUGAAGGUCAUGUUGCUAGACAACAAUGAACCUACGAGCUAUGGAGAAGCGAUGGUGGGCCCGGAUUCCGACAAAUGGCUAGAGGCCAUAAAAUCCGAGAGAGGAUCCAUGUAUGAAAAUAAAGUGUGGACUUUGGAAGAACUACUUGAUGGUCGUAAGGCUAUUGGGUACAGAUGGAUUUUAAAAGAAAGACGGACAAUGAUGGUAAGUAUCACCAUUAAGAAAGCUCGACUUGUCGUUAAGAUGUUUUUCGACAAGUUCAAGGAGUUGACUGCGAUGAGACUUUCUCAUUCGUAGAGAUGCUAAGAGUCUGUUGGAAUUAUAUUAGCAAUUACUGCAUGAUUUAUGAAAUCUUGCAAAUAGGAUGUCAAAACAUUGUUUCCUCAACGAUAUUCUUGAGGAAAGGUUGUAUGUGGUACAACCAGAAAGUUUUGUCAAUCCUGAAAGAUGCUAACAAGUGUGCAAAGCUCCAGCAAUCCUUCUAGGGACUGGAGUAAGCAUCUCGGAGUUGGAAUAUACGCUUUGAUGAGAUGAUCAAAGAUUUUGGGUUUAUACAAAGUUUAUGAGAAACUUGUAUUUCCAAAGAAGUGAGUGGGAGCACUAUAGAAUUUCUGAUGAGUAUAUGUUGUUGACAUAUUGUUGAUCGAAAAUGAUGUAGAAUUUCUAGAAAGCAUAUAGGGUUAUUUGAAAAGUGUUUUUCAAUGGAAAACCUGGAUUAAGCUACUUAAACAUUGAGCAUCAAGAUCUAUAAGGAUAGAUCAAAACGCUUAAUAGUACUUUCAAAUGAAUACAUACCGUGACAAGAUUUUGAAGGAGUUCAAAAUAGAUCAGCAAAGAAGGAGUUCUUGGCUGUGUUAUAUGGUGUGAGUAUUGAGUAAGACUCAAUACAUGACCACGGCAGAAGAGAGAGAAAGGACGAAGGUCGUCCCCUAUGCGUCAGACGUAGGCUCUAUAGUAUGCUAUGUUGUGUACCGCACCGGAAGUGUGCCAUGCCAUGAGUUAGUCAAGGGGUACAAGAGUGAUCCAGGAAUGAAUCACAGGACAACGGUCAAACUUAUCCUUAGUAACUAGUGGACUAAGGAAUUUUCUCGAUUAUGGAGGUGGUAAAAGAGUUCGUCGUAAAGGGUUACGCCGAUGCAAACUUUGACACUAAUCCGGAUUACUCUGAGUAGUAAACCGGAUUCGUAUAGUAGAACAGAUAUUUGGAAUAGUUCCAAAUAGAGCGUGGUAGCUGCAUCUAGGAGAUGACAUAGAGAUUUGCAAAACACACACGGAUCUGAAAGGUUCAGAUCCGUUGACUAAUAACCUCUCUCACAAGCGAGAUAUGAUCAAAACCCAUGGGUGUCGAUCCAUUACAAUCACAUAGUGAUGUGAACUAGAUUAUUGACUCUAGUGCAAGUGGGAGACUGUUGGAAAUAUGCCAUAGAGGCAAUAAUAAAAUGGUUAUUAUUGUAUUUCCUUGUUCAUGAUAAUUGUCUAUUAUUCAUGCUAUAAUUGUAUUGACCGGAAACCGCAAUACAUGUGUGAAUACAUAGACCACAACAUGUCCCUAGUGAGCCUCUAGUUGACUAGCUCGUUGAUCAACAGAUGGUCAUGGUUUCCUGACCAUGGACAUUGGAUGUCAUUGAUAAUGGGAUCACAUCAUUAGGAGAAUGAUGUGAUGGACAAGACCCAAUCCUAAGCCUAGCACAAGAUCAUGUAGUUCGUAUGCUAAAGCUUUUCUAAAUGUCAAGUAUCUUUUCCUUAGACCAUGAGAUUGUGCAACUCCCGGACACCGUAGGAAUGCUUUGGGUGUGCCAAACGUUACAACGUAACUGGGUGGCUAUAAAGGUGCACUACGGGUAUCUCCAAAAGUGUCUGUUGGGUUGGUACGAAUCGAGACUGGGAUUUGUCACUCCGUGUGACGGAGAGGUAUCUCUGGACCCACUCGGUAGGACAUCAUCAUAAUGUGCACAAUGUGAUCAAGGAGUUGAUCUCGGGAUGAUGUGUUAUGGAAUGAGUAAAGAGACUUGCCGGUAACGAGAUUGAACAAGGUAUCGGGAUACCGAAGAUCGAAUCUCGGGCAAGUACUAUACCGGUAGACAAAGGGAAUUGUAUACGGGAUUGAUUGAAUCCUUGACAUCGUGGUUCAUCCGAUGAGAUCAUCAUGGAAUAUGUGGGAUCCAACAUGGGUAUCCAAAUCCCGCUGUUGGUUAUUGACCGGAGAGUUGUCUCGGUCAUGUCUGCAUGGUUCCCGAACCCGUAGGGUCUACACACUUAAGGUUCGAUGACGCUAGGGUUAUAGGGAAUAGAUAUACAUGGUUACCGAAUGUUGUUUGGAGUCCCGGAUGAGAUCCCGGACAUCACGGGGAGUUCCGGAAUGGUCCGGAGGUAAAGAUUUAUAUAUAGGAAGUCCUGUUUUGGUCACCGGAAAGGUUUCGGGUGCUAUCGGUAACGUACCGGGACCACCGGGAGGGUCCCGGGGGUCCACCAGGUGGGGCCACUGGCCCCAGAGGGCUGCGUAGGCCAAGUGUGGGAGGGAACCAGCCCCAGGUGGGCUGGUGCGCCCCCCACCAAGGCCCAAGGCGCAGGGAGAGUGGGAGGGGGCAAAACCCUAGGUCCAGAUGGGCCUUAAGGCCCACCCUAGGGCGCCCCCUCUCUUCCCCCCCUUGGCCACACCCUAGAUGGGUUUUGGGGGCUGCCGCCAUCCCUAGGGAGGGAACCCUAGAUGGGGGCGCAUCCCGUCCCCUUCCCCUAUAUAUACUUGAGGUAUUGGGGCUGCAAAACACAUGAGAUGAACUCUCCCCAGGCGCAGCCCUACCUCUCUCCCUCCUCGUCUCUUGCAGUGCUUGGCGAAGCCCUGCUGGAGUGCCACGCUCCUCCAUCACCACCACGCCGUUGUGCUGCUGCUGGACGAAGUCUUCCCCAACCUCUCCCUCUCUCCUUGCUGGAUCAAGGCACGGGAGACGUCACCGUGCUGCACGUGUGUUGAACGCGGAGGUGACGUCCGUUCGGCACUGGGGAUCUUCGGUGAUUUCGAUCACGACGAGUACGACUCCCUCAACCCGGUUCUCUUGAAAGCUUCCGCUCGCGAUCUACAAGGGUAUGUAUAUGCACUCCUCUCUCUCGUUGCUAGUCUCUCCAUAGAUAGAUCUUGGUGACUCGUAGGAAAAUUUUGAAUUUCUGCUACGUUCGCCAACAUGAGGCCAGUAAAAUCCGGCUCGGUAUGCUUUGGCCACGAUGGUCCGAGAGGACUCAUGGUGACCACAGGUCCCUGAGUGAAUAUCGUUGAGGAUCAUUUGGCCUUCUUCUGGUGUGAUGCAUUUCUGGCUGACUCCAGUUACACUUUAUCUGAACAACUGUCCUCUUAAUACCGUAAAGGCUUUGGAUCGUCGAAGGAUCUGCCGAGCCUCUUCUUCAUCCUCUGGAAGUACUUUCCUCAGAAUGUAUGCAAUGGAUGGUACUGUCCAGUCGGGAGUGAUGACCAGAACCUCCAUGAUCAAGUUGACCACGGCUGGGACUUCGACUUCAGUCAGAUCUGUGGCACUCUUAGGCUUUGGGGGCUCUUCAGUGAAAGGAUCCUCCUGAACUGAAGGCGAGUGAAUAUGUUCCAAAAACACGUUGCUAGGGAUGGUCUCCAUCUUGGAUCCUAUCUUUUCCAAUUCAUCUGCAACUUGAUUUUUCAGUCGGGGUAUAUGGUGAAACUCCAACCCCUCAAACUUCUUUUCCAGCUUUCUUACUGCACUGCAAUAACCAGUCAUGGCUGGACUCGUGACAUUCCAUUCUUUCGUCACUUGAUUAACCACCAAAUCUGAGUCACCGUAGACCAUAAGGCGUCGGACGCCGAGUGAAAUGGCCAUACGUAACCUGUACAAAAGUGCUUCAUAUUCAGCUUCAUUGUUGGAAGAGUCAAAAUGAAUUUGAAGAACAUAGUUAAGCUUGUCCCCACAGGGGGAUACCAACACUAUCCCAACACCGGAACCAUUCACCAUCUUGGAGCCAUCGAAGAACAUGUUCCAAUGUUCCGAGUGAACUUGAGUCGGCAGUUGCUGUUCAAUCCACUCGGCAAGGAAAUCUACGAUUGCUUGGGACUUGAUAGCUUUCUUUGCCUCAAACUUGAUAUCCAAUGGAAGGAGUUCAAUCGCCCAUUUUGCCACUCGACCAGUUGCAUCUCUAUUGUUCAGAAUUUCAGAUAAUGGUGCGUUGCUGACGACUAUAACGGAGUGAUCAGAGAAAUAGUGUGCAACCUUCUUCGUGGUCAUGUAGAUUCCAUAGACAAGCUUCUGAUAAUGUGGAUAUCAUUGCUUGGAUGGAGUCAAAACUUUAGAGAGAUAAUAUACUGGUCGUUGAACUUUGUAAGCCUAUCCUUCCCCUUCCCGCUCGACCGUGAGUACUGUACUGACAACUUGUCUAGUGGCUGCAAUCUAAAGCAGUAAAGGCUCUUUGCUGAUUGGCGCAACAAGCACCGGCUGGGUGGAAAGCAGGGUUUUGAGCUCUGCAAACGCUGCGUCAGCUUCCUCCGUCCACUCGAACUUAUCCGAUUUCUUCAUCAAUCGGUAAAGAGGUAAGGCCUUUUCCCCGAGAUGAGAAAUGAAUCGACUCAAGGCGGCCAAACAACCAGCAAGCUUCUGAAUGUCAUGCACACGCACAGGGCGUUUCAUUCGGAGGAUGGUAUCAAGUUUUACUGGAUUUGCGUCGAUCCCUCGUUCGGAAAUGAGGAAACCGAGUAACUUUCCACCUGGAACUCCGAAUGUGCACUUUGACAGAUUGAUCUUGAUAUCAUACCUUCUUAGGUUGGCAAAGGUUUCUGCGAGGUCAGUCAGUAGGUCGGAAUCUUUACGGGACUUGACCACAAUGUCAUCCAUGUAUGCUUCCACAUUCCGACUGAUUUGAGUAAGUAAGCACUUCUGAAUCAUCCUCAUGAAUGUGGCUCCGGCAUUUUUAAGACCAAAUGGCAUGGUGACAUAGCAAAAGCACCAAAAUGGGGUGAUGAAAGCCGUUUUUAUUUCAUCGGGACCGUACAGUCGGAUCUGAUGAUACCCGAAAUAUGCAUCUAAAAAAGACAAGCGCUCGCACCCCACAGUCGAGUCAACAAUUUGAUCGAUGCGGGGGAGAGGGAAAUGAUCUUUCGGGUAGGCCCGAUUGAUAUGCUUGAAAUUGAUGCACAUACGGAGUGAAUCGUCCUUCUUAGGGACCAUGACCACAUUGGCAAGCCACUCGGAGUGGUAGAUCUCUCGGAUGAACUCUGCUGCUAGGAGCCGAGCCAUUUCCUCGCCAAUUGCCUUUCUCUUCUGCACGGCGGACCGCCAAAGAUGCUCUUUGACGGGUUUUAUCUUGGGGUCAACGCGCAAACGGUGCUCAGCCAGUCCCCUGGGUACACCCGGCAUGUCAAAAGGUUUCCAUGCAAAGAUGUCCCAGUUCUCACGGAGGAAUUGGAUGAGCGCUUCUUCCUAUUUGCUGUCGAGUGUUGUUGAGAUAUGAGUCGGUGCAGCAUUGGGAUCGGUCGGGUGAAUAUGAAUCUAUUUCGUUUCUUCGGGCGACUGAAAUGCAGAAUCUAUGGCAGGUCUCUUAGUUCGGAGUAAAUCACUCGGAUCUGCAUUCUUCUGGUAUUCUUGAAAUUCAACUGCUGUCAUUUGCGCAUCGACAAUUUUGGAACCCUUCUGGAAGCAUUCCUUCGCCUUUUGCCGAUUGCCAGUAACUGUGGUCACACCUCUGGGACUAGGCAUCUUCAACUUGAGGUACACAUAACAUGGUCGAGCCAUAAAACAUGCGUAGGCAGGCCUACCCAGAAUGGCAUGAUAAGCACUUUGGAAAUCCACAACUUCAAAUGUCAACUUUUCUUUACGGUAAUUCUUGGAAUCACCGAAAACCACGUCAAGGAUGAUCUGGCCGAGUGAUUCGGCUUUCUUUCCAGGGAUAACACCAUGGAAACUCAUAUUGCUCUCGCUAAGCUUGGACAUCAGAAUGCCCAUCCCCUUCAAGGUUUAAGCAUAAAGGAUAUUCAGGCCGCUACCACCAUCCAUCAGCACUUUGGUCAGUCGGGUGCCUUCGACCACUGGGUCGACCACCAACGCUUGCCUCCCAAGGGUGGCUAUACGCGCAGGGUGAUCAGACUGGUCGAACGUGAUGGCUGUUUGAGACCAUUUCAGGUAUGUAGUCGUCAUUGCCGGGGCGACCAUAUUCACUUCUCUGUUGAUAACUUUCAAUCGACUCUUGCUCUCAACAUCAGCAAAAAUCAUCAGGGUGGAAUUGACUUUGGGAUAACCAUCGUCUUCUUCCUCAUCUUCGUCUCUAUCUGACUCUUUUCCCUAUUCAUUGGGUUGAUUAUCUUGGAACUGCUGGAUCAGGAGUCGACACUGUCGAGUGGUGUGUUUAGGAUAAAUCAGAUUACCCUCUUCAUCCUUCUUCGUGUUAAUGUGACACGGCAAAUCCAACACAUCAUUUCCUGGUCCUUUACCUUCUUAGGGUUCCAGGGUCCCUUAGGUUUUCCUUUAAACUUUCCUUGAGCCACUGCCGCAAUUUCGCCGGGUGCUGCGGGCUCGGCCUUUCGUUUUUGUCUCCGAUUGGAAUUGAUUCCGCUAGUGUCCUGGCUGACUGGUUUGCCCUUUCCGCCGCGGAGUCGAUCUUCUUCUUCUCCGUUCGCGUACCGGGUGUCUAUCUCCAUCAUCCGAGUCAGAGUCAUAUCCCCAGUCCAACCAAACUUCAGGACCAAUUCUCGGUAUUUAACGCCUUCUUUGAAGGCACACACAACUUGAUGUUCAGAUACAUUCUCCACCGUGUGAUGCAAAGUGGUCCACCUCUGAAUGAAAUCUCUCAGAGUCUCACUCAGUUUCUGCACGCAAUGCUGCAAUUCCGUCAAUCCUGCUGGCCGCUUGCAAGUGCCCUCAAAAGUUCUGACGAACACUCGAGCAAGUUCUUCCCAACUGUAUAUACUAUUCGGGGCUAAUUGAGUCAACCACGCUCUGGCUGAUCCUUCCAACAUCAGAGGGAGAUGCUUCAUCGCCACUUCAUCAUUCCCGCCACCAAUCUGCACAGCCACUCGAUAGUCUUCAAGCCAAGUUUCUGGCUUGGACUCUCCAGUGAACUUGCUGACUCCAGUUGCGAACCUGAAGUUGGGGGGAAUUACUGCGGCCCUGAUGGCUCUGCUGAAACACUCAACCCUGUUACCAGUCGGGCGAUCUCUUCCAAGGUCUUCCCUCUGCGCUCUGUUCCGGUUGACCAAACCCUGAACGAGAAUAGAUCUUGCAUCAAAGCCUGGCUCCCUUGUGUCGACUGGUGCUCUACGUUCACCGCUGUGAAGGCGUCUGUCAUCGUAAUGCCGAGGCACAUAUGAUGUGCUCCUCGGAGGAGGUGUGGGCAUCCGACGACGAUUGUCGCGGUCGAGUCGGUGAUCAUACUGUCCACGGUCCUCAGCCGCAGGGGCGAUCUUGGACUAUGGGCCGACUGGACAGUAUCUGCCACCACGAAUCUGCUAUGAAUCCUAUCCCGUGACUGAGACACCACUGUGUUCAGCUCUCCUGCUGCCUGGAGUAAAGCUCGGAUCUUCAUCAAGCCUCGGUCAGCCUCUAACUGGGAAGGUUGAAUUGACUCUACUAUUCGGGUUGCAGCUGUGAGAUUUUGAAUUGAAGUGCGGUAUACCUUAGGUGGAGGUGGAAAAAGCUGUCGUCGACUGGACUUGUGAAUCCGUUCUCGAGCAUGCUCGUCGAGAGCGCGCUGGAGGUUUUCCAGUCGAGUGUGCUCAGCCAAAUUAGCCAAACGCACCGUUUCCAAGGCCCGAGCCUCGGGGGUUUCUCCAACGAUGGGCGUGUGGAGUGCAUCCAUGUUGCGGCGAUGAAGUUCUUCCCUCUGCUGUGAAGAGAGGGGUUUAGGAUGGUACUCCUCGUGGACGCGCGACGGAUCGCCGCCCCCGUCCUCGCCGUCUUCAUGGUGGAAACCAGGUGGACUAUGUGGUCCGUCGACCAUCAAGACUUCAGCCGCAGGAUCGCUGCUAUCGCACUCGGAUGCGGUUUCGACGGAGCUAGUCGACGGAUCGAACAGGCCGUAGAGAGUUUCGUCGGGCUCGAUUGCCGCAACUUGAUGGGUGGCCGAAUGUCGAGCCACUGCGUGUUUUACCCACUGCUGAAGCCGCGACCGACCGGAUCGUUUGCGGCGGCGAACAUCGGAGGGAGACGACAUCAUUGGAGCCGACCGAUACUGAGUCGACGGCUGCCGGAGAAGGACGCCGCGAACGCACGCGCGAAAGUGCGUCGCCCCUCGGACGGGGAGCGCCUCGACGUCAAGGGGAGCUUCUUGAAUCCAAGCGGAGUCGUCGACGAUGAAAAUGAGUGCGCCGAGACGGAUCUCGCGCCCCUUAGCCAGAUCACCACCGGAAACCAUGAUGAUGGGGAUCGGAAAAGUUGCAACUUCACCAACAAGUUGCUAAGACACCUGCCUCACGGUGGGCGCCAACUGUCGUGGUUCUAAGGCUGACAGUAGAAAGGGGGGGGGGUAGGUAUGGAGAGGCAAGAUCUCAACUAUGGUGAAGGUGUACACACGAGAUUUACGAGUUCAGGCCCUUCUCGGAGGAAGUAAUAGCCCUACGUCUCGGUGCCCGGAGGCGGUCGACUGGAUUAUAUGUGUGUGGUAUUACAGGGGGUGCGAACCCUUGUCCCAGAGGAGGGGGUGGCUUAUACAGAGUGUGCUGGGACUCUAGUCAUCCUCCAUUACAAGGGGCUUAAUGUACAUAAAAUAGGGGCGUUGCUGAUAACGCCGGUCUUAAGUGCUAUUAAUGACCUUAAAGACUACGGAGUGAACACCCGACCGUUGCAAUGCUGAGUGACUCCUGAUCUUCGGUAGGUCGAGUGGUUCCUUGUAUGGUCGAGUGACAACAAGUAGGAGGGGUAUCCGAGUGAUAUGAUUGGUCGAGCGGAUUGCACUCGACUUUUUUGACUGGGGGUCCUUCGUUGCCUCUUGAACUUCUUACCUUCUAGGGUAGUGACCUUGGGUAUAACGUAUAGGUCAGGCCUAUGACCCUAUCCCAGGUCUGUAUCCUCAUCAACUAGCACCCUUGGUUUUCAACCGAAUGGUCUUGGGUUCGAGUCCCAGGAACUCUCAAUUUUGUCCUCCUUCCUUCCUCGCAAAAAAAAGAAAGAAAAUCAAAGACUUGAGAAGGCGUACAGAACAAGAUAGUGUACCAGUAAAGAGACGUUGCUGAGUUUUAGAAAAAAGAGAGAUGUGCUCCUGUAGCUGGUUCGAAUCCAAACCUAGACUAUGACUAUAUAUGGUGUUAUGCUACUCUGCAAGUAUUGAAACUGACAUAUCCAAUGUUCGCUUCUCCUCUUCUCUACUUACUCUGCCUAGCAUCAGAAGCUUUGGCCGUAGCAACCAUGUCCGCUGGCUGCUCAUCCACUUGCUCUUCAGCAGGCAACAACCAGAUAUGCGCCAAGUCACCACCCGUAUCAUCGUCUGUGGGUCUCAUCAUAUCCCCGCCGCACACGCACCGCAGCCGGUUGCUCAUCGCAAUUCGCUGUCGUUGGUGUGGUGCCACUGCUGCAAAUCACGCAGAGUCAUCCGUCACAUCUCAACCAGGAGGCUCUGGCUCAGUGCGCGCGUACAUGAUGAUGAAGUAGCUGCUGGACUUCUUCGGUGAGAAAAGGAACACACAGAGACGGGUGCACGUGGUGUGACAUACCCGUCGGAGGAAGGCGUCAUAGCGACGUCGCUGAUGAGCACCAGGGUAGAUAGUUCUGCCAAAGAAAACGGGUGCACGGGAGAGGCUAGUUAGUGCGACACCUUCAGCAUAUGAAAACGGGUGGACCUCGUCUACAAGAGAUGGCCCUGGCUCCAUGGCCGCAGACGAGCACUAGCCCGGGCGCAAAAAUAAAAUAAAAAAUAUUCAUGAUAUUAGGGUCGUGAUAUUGCAACAACACGCGCCAUGAAUGGUUGCAAUAUCAUGACCAUUGCCAGUACUCUACUAUAUGGCCCGCUCCCGGUAACGACAACUGAGUACCGACAUGGUUGUUGCAGUGCAGCCAUGACCACAGUUUGCACUACUCACAGAUAACGCUAUUGCAGUGCAGCCAUGGCCAUGAGAACGCAGCUCCUUCGCUUGCUACCUCUGCUGCUCCUGCUCCUUCCUUCUCCCCUCCGCGAUUACCUGUCGGCCGAUGAAGCCGCCAGCGGCAGAUUCGGCCAGGGCCAACUCCAAGUCUACUACCCCAUAAUCUUGUUCCUUGGCAUAAGUUGCCCCAACCUAGAGGCCAGGGCCGGGGAAGGGAUGGUUCCCUCUCUGGAACAACACCCGGGAUGUGCUCGACCAUGAUUACCUUCCGUGCUUACAGAAGCAGAUGAGCCUCAUGUACCACCCAGUCCUCAACGACUUCUGGAACCGGCCCGGCGUCGGGACGCGCGUGCCUGACUUCGGCUCGUCCUACGGUUUCACCUCAAAGGACGAAGUGUAAGUUCAUAUACAUUGCACUUGGUAUUUUCUUUGGAAAGGAGAGGUUCAUUUAGUAAUGAUUUGUUAAUACUGUACUAUAAGAAUUCUUGAUCUUGAAAUUUGCCUUCUUAAUUUAGGGGCGGCCGUAAUAUUUAUUGCAUGUCAAAACUUCGCCAAGAACUGGAGGCACUAGGUUAUCGCGAUAGAGAUACUCUUUUCGGUGCUCCAUACGACUUACGCCAUGCUCCACCUUCACCCGGCUAGCCAUCUCGGGUGUACACCGACUACUUUGCUCGUGUCAAGAAUCUGGUGCAGCAUGCGAGCGAGAAGAAUGGGAACAAGCCUGUCAUCCUCGUCGGGCACAACUUUGGAGGCAAGGCAGGCCUCGACUUCGUCAAUUCGACUCCCCUUCCAUGGAGGAAAAGAUUCAUCAAACACAUGGUCCUAAUCGCGCCCACACCUCCUACUGGUUUUGUUCAGGUGCUCACGGACUUUGCCUCUGGGCCGUCAGUCAUUCUUAUACCGACCGCACCGUGGCUGGGUUUGCGUCCAAUGUGGAGAACUUUCGCGUGUUCUCUUAUAUCCUUCCCAUCUACCAGAGUUUUUGGUCACGAACCACUUGUAGUCACCAAACAAAUGAACUACUCGGCGUAUGACUACAGGGAUUUUCUCAUGGCUCUUGGUUUCAACACCGACAUCAUAAAAUGGAUACUUCGGAUGAAUCUAAAGGUUAAUGCUCCGAUGGUGCCAACGACAUACCUAAAUGGAGUCGGUUUCCAAACGAUAGAUCAGGCUGUAUACUGGGACAAUAACUUUGAUGUAGAGCCAGAGUAUGUAUAUGGCGAUGGUGACGAUGUCGUCAACUUAGUUAGCUUGUUGGCAUUUGUGGAAGAAAUGAGAAGGCAGCAGCAGCGGAAUAGCAUACACUUCAAGUUCAUCAAGAUUGCUCAUACUAACCACUCUCAUAUUCUAAUUCAGGAACGUUCACUCAAGAGAGUUAUGGCUGAAAUUCUAGAAGCUAAUUGCAGAAGAGACAUCAUGUAACAGUUUUGUUUUUCCAUUCAUGAAAAAAUAUGCUGUAUUCUCGUUGGAGAAGCUGGCAUUGUUGUGGAAUAAAACUAUUAUGUAAGGAUAUUCUAUAAAUUGAAUAAGAACCAAGGCCUUGGUUACUAUACAAACACCCCUCGUCGUACAUUGUUAGGACAAAGACCAUCUGUAGUUCACACACACACACACACACGCGCGCGCGCGCGCGCGCACACACACACACACAAAGAGGUAGACCAAAAACGCUUACCGGCCGCGUGCAAAAUAGCCCACCGGCCGUGUUCUGGGUGAACGCCGCCUGCGGUGCAACUAGCAGUGUGUGUGCUCCACACGCGACUACUGUGCUAUUAAGUAGCACUGGCGACGUUUGGUUUCAUUAGAAGUCGUUUUUGUCAGAGCCAAUCUACAGUGUGCCCUUUAUGCAAGCGUUUCUAGUGUUGGUUUAAAUUAGCAGCAUCCUGCUAAUAACAAAUGCGGCUAGCUUGUUUUGCAGGGAUAACAGAAACUAGAUAGUAAGUGCGGCUUGCCGCACCCCACCCGGUCCAGCCAUAUCCAACCUGGUAUGAAACAAUUUGUAUUUUGUAUGAUUUUACGAUAAAAGCAAUAGUGCAAAGGUUCAGUAUGUUACAGAAAAAGUGAAAGGCAUAGUUUCUAUACAAACCAUAGGCAUAGUGUAUAAGAACAUGUGUUACACAGGCCACAUGUUACAGAUAGAUAAGGUGCCCACUGAUAAAACAAAAAAAUACGAAUAGGAACACAAGCUUUUGUUUUCUCCCUAACAGAUUGACUUGGAGCAUGUAAAUGCUCAACUUGUGAUGAUAGCAUGCAGGUCUUCAUGUGUUUGCUGAUGGUGUAACUUGCACAAGUAACUCCAUUCUUAGUCUGACAAAAUGAUGACAGGUUCCAUGUCUCCAUGGAGCUGCCAGAUCAGAGAAACAAAAAAAAAAUAUGAGAACAGGAGUAAACCGGAGAUGUCAUGAAUAUAAAUUUGUCAAAGGUGCAGAGAUCAAUGCACGGUAUUUAUCUAACCGAACAUGCUAAUUGGUUUGGGAGUAUAACAUUCACUUGAUUUUAUGUGAAAAAAAAAGAGGGUGUCUACCUGAUUGAUGGUGGAUGUAAGUGUGAAGGAGGCAAUGUAACUACAAUCACCCAUGACGAUGCCUUCACAACAAUAAAACAACCCAGCAAGGCCGAAAGACUCGCAUAAGGGCAUAGUCUCCAUAAAUACUUGAUUUAAGCACCAAAACUCAGAUCAAAGCAUAAUAUAGCAAUAGUGGUUCAGCAUAAAGCAACAUUUUAGGGGCAAGCAUAAUAUACAUAUGAUUCAAUACAAAGUAUAACAUAUACAGUAAUAGUGGUUCUUUACAAAGGGCAAGCAUGUGUAUUUUUUUGGUUUGAUUGCACUGUGCUAAUGAAAAUAAUAUCACAAGCUUCUUUAGUUAAUACAGAUGAAUAUGAACCCCCAGGAAGAUAAAAAGUGAAGUAGCAUACUACUGUCUCUGAAGCAUUUGACUACAUACAUGAAGUGCUUUUGAAUAUAAUAUGAAUUUCCACCGCCCUAAAGGGAAAGUAAAUAUAGAAACACAUCGUUUAUGUUCUAGGCAUUGUUAUAUAUCAAAGAAAGAGGCGAAAACAGGCAAAGCACAAACAAUUUUAUAGUGGAGAACUGGACAUACAACUGGCUGGCUUCCUGAGGCUGAAAAUGUUCACAUGUCAUAUAUUACCCACUUUACCGCUAGUAUAUAUACAACUCAAGACAUGAUAGAAGUUCUGUACGCAAGAAUUAACCUGAGUUUGUUUGUUCAAAGGGCUUCUUCCCCAUGAAAGGCUCACACUCUGACCACCAAAAAAGGUCCCAUGCAGCAGUUGCAGAGCUUGCUCAGCAGAAGGCCUGAAUAUGCAGUGACAGGAGUAAUUUAGCCACAUCUCUUCCCAACAGGGAUCUUGACAUGGACGACUUCCCCAUUUGGAGCGAACACUUGACAUUGGAGUCAUGGCCUCCAACAAAUAUCUGAGAACAAAGAAACAAAUAUGUUCAACACACUGAAAAUCAAUUGGUGUAAUACAGAAAAGUAGAACUAAGAACGCACGGUGGUAUUGUUACAUUCAUGUAUUUGUAUUGGCAUUGGUACUGUAAAUGAAAGCAAAAAAGAGUGAAGGAAAUACAUUGUAAGACUUGUUAAAUAACAAAGGACAAGUAAAGCCUACAGGCUGAAACUAUUGCAGAUUCAAAAAGCACAUCCCAUAUUUAAUUUCAAAAUGAGCAUAGAUAUAAACCUGAACUAUUUUAUCUAAGCAUAUGAUUAGGAUAAAUCUAUGGUUAGGAUAAGCCUAAAAGAGCUAGAUUUACAUGCCUGAGACACUGUAGAUUUUCUAUUCAAGCAUAUAGUCAGAAUUCUUGCCUACGAUGCUUCUUCUCAAAGCUGUCAACCACGGUGCCAUGCCUUGCCAUGAGCUUCUCCUGCAUCUCCCUCUCCUUCGCAACCAAGCCCUCUAGCUGUAGCAAGAAUGCACAAAAAGUAUGAUUUAUUUUUGGUAAUCAGAAUAAAUGCGGAAAGGCGGUCAAGAUUUAGAUUGCACGACAUAGCACAGGAAAAUAUGUUUCUCAAUUUCAUUUUUUUAUAUACAACAUAAAUGCGGUCGCAGAAGUUUGUUGAGCAACCCUUUGGCCAUAUCUGAUAAGACUGAGGGGAUGACUAUACAGACAACAACAGCUGCUUCAGCUCAAUCAUGUGACUUAUCUGGCAUGUGAUUAUAUGGGUAAGCAAGGACCAAAUUAAUCUAGCACCUGAAAACAACACUUUGAUUCAAACAACUGCAACCAUGACUUAAUCCAAAUAACUGGAGCAGGCAUAGUUCCCACAUCUUCUACUUAACCAACCAUGCGACUUCGCUGAUCCCCAAUUUAAACUGUAAUGCACCAAAUUAAACCACAUGGCACAUAGUUUAUUACGAUACAACAAGCGACGACAGUCCACCACUAAGUGCCGCUACGGUGGCUGCUAAGGCACACUCCACCUAAACAACCACCCAAAAUGAUCACUGAAAUCCCAAUUCAGCAGCCCAGCCAAUGGCAUGCUUUGGCUCAACUACUCAAAGGGUUCACCAGAUUAGAUAUGUUUAAUUCAGUGUCGAAGUAGAAUAUCUUAGCUAAGCGACACAAAAAAUUACAUAACAUCAUAUGUUUAGUUCUGCAAACUCAGUUCAUCAACACAUCACUGAUAGCAGCAGUCCUAAAGGCAAGAAAAAAUACCAAUGUUUUCAACUUGAUGCUGUAUACGGAAAAUGGCUUGAUUUGCCAGUGUUCGGACAUCAAUAACUCGACAGUCCAAGCGUGUGUCCUGACCAACAUGGACAAGUGGCACUCCCUUCUGCAAAACAACAAGAUACCAUUAGCUGAACCCAAAUAUCAUCAUCGGAGAUUGGAGCAACAAUCUGUAUCCUCCUCCUUUAUGCAUUCAAAGAGGAGGCAAGCAAAUACACAGAUUGUGCAAACUGACAUACUGAUUCAGCUAUUGCAAACUCCUCAGCACUCCGUCUGGCAUCCUCCACGCUGAUUGGUAGCUUCGGGUCAGCCCUGUUGAUGCAGUAGAGCUUCCUGGCCUGAAUAUCCACCUGCCAGCCAUCAAAUGGAAUUACAAAUAACUACUGUGGUGUGUAUGUCAGCCCAUAAUUCAAACAGUCAACAGACAAAGGGGAACUGCAACGAAACGAGAUCUCAAACUAAUAAAAGAUGGGUAAGCAAACGGAACCAUCUCCCUCUCUGCCUCCUCCUCAUCUUCAUGGCACUCACAGGCUGCGGCAUACAAGCAAGAGAAGGCGAGGGGGUGGGCUGACCUCACAUCCUCUCAUCCAUCCCUGUAGCGGGCCUCGUCGGCGAGGACGGCUCGUCGAGGAACUCGGGCUCCUUGUCGCUGGUGGCCAUGUUCCUGGCCUUCUUGGUCGGCUGCGCCAUGCGCCUCUUGGUCGCCGCCGCCGCGUGCCCCUCCUCCUUCUGCUGCUCCCCGGAGGCGGCCGUCUCCUCGUCCUCCCCGAGCGCGAGCUCCUCCUCGGCGAUGGGGACGGGGCAGGGAGGUGGUCUAGGGUUAGGGUUUGGAAGGAGAGAGAGAGGGAGGCGCGGGUGCGAGGUGCCUGUCCGAACAUUUUGGUCAAGUAGGUAAUGCUCAAAUCAGUAGAAAUUCAUGUUUAACGUAGGCAUUCAAACAGGAUAUCAAAAAAAGGAAGAAAUAUUCACAUGUGCAGGCAACUGAACCACCAUCUUUUCACUCAUGCAGUAAUCAACAACAACUAACCUUAUUCAUAGUAGCACCCAUCAGAUUAAGAUUCAGAGACACAUAGCCAAGAUUAAGAUUCAUAGGAACCAAGCAAACAUCACUCAGGCAAGAUUUUAUUGGAAAUCUACUGCAAUACUUAAGCUACUGAUUUUCUAUACCCUGCACAAAUUUUUUCGCACAACCUCAGUGUCGUUUCAUAUGUCCAACGGAUCAUUCAUACAUGGUGGAAAGAUCUCAGUUUUUGUUUCGCUAAUUUACAGUGAAAAGAGAAAUAAAAAACAUAUACAAGCUUGAAGUUCAACUACUAUCAAUACAAUUUUCUUCAGGUUUCUAGUUUUUCUUAGGAGAGAACAACUAAAACAACUGAAUAAAUCAAAUCAAAGGGGAUUAAGGGCUGCUGUAGUACAAGGAAAGAGAAGAGAGGAGGAGAGGGGGACGGACCUCCUUGGACAUUCAUAUCGCUCCACCUCCCUUGCCCUUCUUCUUCUAGUUCUUCUGCUCCUUGAUCAUCCAUCCCCUUCUUCUCCUUUUCUCUGCACAUGGACAUGGUUAGCACCAAAUUGAUGCACCCCAAAACACAAAUCGGUCCAAAUCACAAGUAUUAUACAAGGUAAAAAAAUGAUUUUUUUGAUAAGGAACAAAAGAGGGUAGAUAGAGGGAGAGGGCAGAGGAUACCGUGGCUGCUGCUAUGUUGUGUUGGGGAAGAAGCACACCUCCUCUGCCGCUGCGUGGUGGUGGAGAAGCUGCUCCUAAUAUAAAGCUAUUCCUGCAACCUGUAAUAACACACUCAAGUUAAUGGGAUAAGCACACAAAUUAUUUUCAGUGUAAACAAAACUGAUUUCCCUUAAAAGAUAAACCAAGUGUAGUAAUUGAAGUAACUUUAAGCAAAUAUCAUUACUGCGCUUUUGAACCCGCAGCUACCAAAAAAGACAACAUUAAGAUACACUUGUCAGUCAAAAGUGACUAUAAGUUAGUUGAGGAAACAAGAGUAACAUCCAGAUUGCAGAUUUAUAUGAACAGGAAAGGACACCACAUAUGGCAACAGGACUCUGUCAUGUAGUUCUAAAUCAACGAUUCAUUCAGGAAAGCAGACAACAUCAACAAUGCUCAUUCGUAUGAACCAAAUAAUGUAAUUUUUGCCAAGAACACAAGGGUGUAAAAUUAGAAUAACAACAUGAAUUGCCAUAUCAAUCAAUAAAAUAAGCUAGGUAAAAAGAGUGCAUCAUUCCUGUUGGUGUUUUAUUUCCAUCCAUGAGUCAUUGUCAUCAAAUAAUUUGUGCAUAUACACAGAAUAAAAGGAAACAUGACGUGUAAUAUGAAAUAGAAUAACUGAAUAUUUCUUUGCCAGCAUGGGUAGUGAGGAAAGAAAUUUCACACAUAUGCAACAACAAUAAAACCAUCAAGUUAGCCACCUGGCAAUUAAUUGUCCACACAUCUUAUUGUCACCCUUGUUAACCAAGCCUUUGAGCAUGCACAUGAUGAUUUGCUCAAGCUUUCUUGUGUUCCAUGCCCUACCUGGAGUUUCUGCUAACAAAUGAAAAAAGGAGAUCACCAUAUAAGCAAAAAAGAACAAAGCAAAAUGAGACAAAUAAGCAUGUCAGAGCAGCACCCAGCAUUCACGGUGACAUGGAAGUGCUCUCUGAACUACAACCCAGAAUAAACACAUGUAGUUUUCUCUAAAUGCUAAAAGAUGCAUGGUUUGAAAAUUUUCUAACCCAAACAAUAACUCAAAACCAACCCAUCUGGAUCUGGAACAACACAUUUAAAUCCUAACUAAUCAGGGUAAUCAUUCUUAACAGUAAUCCACAACUACAACCACAAAACAAAAAAAC